GCGGUGUGGACGUGAGUUCGAUUCCCCGCG
rnacentral:sRNA from 1 species